rnacentral:misc_RNA from 1 species
GAAAUGCGAUAAGUAGUGUGAAUUGCAGAAUUCAGUGAAUCAUCGAAUCUUUGAACGCACAUUGCGCCCCUCGGCAUUCCGUGGGGCAUGCCUGUUCGAGCGUCAUCUACACCCUCAAGCUCUUCUUGGUGUUGGGCGUCUGUCCCGCCUCCGCGCGCGGACUCGCCCCAAAUGCAUUGGCAGCGGUUCCUUGCCCCCCUCUUUGCGCAGCACAUUGCCAUUCGAGGCGGCGGCGGCCCGCGUCCAACAAGCUCAACCCCCCCGUCUUUGACCUCGGAUCAGGUAGGGAUACCCGCUGAACUUAAGC